rnacentral:rRNA from 1 species
UACGGAGGGUGCAAGCGUUAUCCGGAUUCACUGGGUUUAAAGGGUGCGUAGGUGGGCAGGUAAGUCAGUGGUGAAAUCUCCGGGCUUAACCCGGAAACUGCCAUUGAUACUAUCUGUCUUGAAUACCGUGGAGGUGAGCGGAAUAUGUCAUGUAGCGGUGAAAUGCUUAGAUAUGACAUAGAACACCAAUUGCGAAGGCAGCUCACUACGCGAAUAUUGACACUGAGGCACGAAAGCGUGGGGAUCGAACAGG